CGUGAGCGUCUCAAUUGAAACCUCCUGAAGAAUAGCUCAAUCAGUUCUGUAAAUUGAUUGCCCGCACACAAUAUUUUAUCCAGGACGUUAACCUCCUCUUUGAAAUCGCCUCCUAAAAUUGCUCUUUUUCUCCAUCUCCUGAAAUAGAAAUUGAAAUUGAUAAAUGAAUUUCUCAUUUAGAAUGGAUUUUCAAUUUUUAAUUUUUUAACACUCAAAUGAGAAAUUGCAUCACCACUGGCCUCUGCCCAAUCUCUUCACCACACUCCGGUCUGAUGGUCUUCCCUCUCGCGCUAACAGUCUCAAUCUCAUUCUUAAUCGCUACUUUCUGAUCGAAAGAAUCCAAAAACUGUGGCAUUUUGAAAUCGACUCAUCUUAUUCUCUGCCCGAGUCUCCUUCAAAACCCCACUUAGUGAGAGAAGCUUUUCUCAGAAGCUAGAGAGAGAAACAAAAUCAACAGAGUAGAGAGAGAGAGCUUCAAAACCCAUAACUCUUUCUCUCUUCUUUCUCUCGAGCCCCCUAUCUCUGGUUUCCCUCUCUCUUUCUCUCUCCCGAGCCCCCUAUCUCUGGUAUAUUUUAUGUCCGAAUUAUUUAUCAAUUUCUAUAUAUAUUCAUGUAUCAGAAGAUGGUUGUGUGUGCUGAUUUGAUAUGCGGUGCAAAGAUGUGGUGAACACCAUGGAAGUGGGGAACGAAGCGAUCUCAUCCAUUUGUUUAAGUCUGGUACGGAAAUGAAAACAUCAUUUAUGUUUCCUCGGGAAGUGAAGUCAAGAGCUUUGAUGUCCAUCUGGCCUUCUCUUGGAAGCCGUUGGAGACUUAUGAAUAUAAUAAGGAUGAGAUAAAUCAGAUUGCUUGCAACUUCAAGUCUUCUUUGCUUACAGCUGCAGAUGAUGGUGGCAAGAUCAUAGACAUUAGCCAGAAAUGUCUCUAUAAAACAUUGAGAGCUGGCCAUCAGGUAAGAGCAAUCCAUACUCAAAUGGUGAGAUGAAUUUUUUGCGUGAUCAGUAGAUUGAAUUCGUCUGAACACAGGACAAGAGCUAUUAUCAUGAUCAAUUUAUGUUUUUGUUUAUAUUUUACACUAUAACCAAUUACUUUCAUAUAAAGUAAGUUUGAGUACGUAGUUUGUA